rnacentral:lncRNA from 1 species
AAGAAAUUAUGGGGACCUGAGCUCUGUCUCCUAGAUCCAUCAGAAAGUUGGCUUGAGCUGAUUUCUGAGGACCUAAGAUUGCAUCUACCUUGACAUCUUUCAGCAAAUUGAGACCUGCAACAAGGCAAACAAUGUUGGUAAGUUCUCUUUAAAUUGGCAAGAGCUUCUCUUUCCCAUGUCAGUUAGCAAUCCGACGUAGGUGCUUAAUAUGCAAUAAUGUUUACCAGCAGCAGCAGCUUCAAUGGCUUGUUCUUGAGAGUCCCUAACAUGAAGAGACAGCCUCGUCGAGUAGUUGCUGUGAAUUGAAUAGAAAUCAGAGAGGGCGACGGACAUGCAGCUCAGACCCAUGCUUCCGACCACUG